rnacentral:rRNA from 1 species
ACACGACUACAUUAGAUACCCGUGUAGUCCUAGCCGUAAACGAUACUCGCUAGGUGUCGGCCACGGUGCGACCGUUGUCGGUGCCGUAGGGAAGCCGUGAAGCGAGCCACCUGGGAAGUACGGCCGCAAGGCUGAAACUUAAAGGAAUUGGCGGGGAGCACCACAACGGGUGGAGCCUGCGGUUUAAUUGGACUCAACGCCGGGAAGCUCACCGGAUAAGACAGCGGAAUGAUUGCCGGGCUGAAGACCCUGCAUGACCAGCUG